UGUUUCAAUCAGUCUGCCUCUUCCAUCACUUCUCUCUUUCUCACAGCCUCAGCUCUCUCUCGGUUUCCUAAUGAAACCCCUCUCUCACAUAUCGAAUUUCUAUCUCAAUCUCAGAAAUCGAAGAUUAUUCAUAAUCCCAUCUCAAAUUCAAUCGAACCUCAAUCUCACAAAUCGAAGCUUAUUCAUAACCCCAUCUCAAAUCAAAACUCGUGAAUCAGCAGAAAUCAAAAUCAAACUCUUUUUAUUGUAACCCAAAAUCUAGUUUGAUUAUUGGGAAGAAGAAGAUAUUGAACCAGAGAUCACUAAACUAAUUUUUAACUUUGAUUUAGUUUUUACUUGAGAUUAUCAUUAUUUGAUUAGAUCGGAUUUGAUUGGUAUUUUUAAUUCGAUAUGAAGAUAUAGAUCCAUCAUCGAAGACAUCAUAUACUCUUAUUGCUGUUAUUUCUGGUGGUGAUGAAGACCCAAGAACAAGAUCUCCUCAGGAGUUUUACAACAUGGGUUUUCCGCAAAGCCGAAACAUCAACUUCGGAACAAGCAGAGUUCAACAAUCACUUCAUUGAGUCUUCAUACGAUGUGUUUGCAGGCAAAGAUUGGCUUUAAAAAGGGUUGGAAACAAUCAGCAGAGGACAUCUCUGGACCAAGAUAAUCCCUGCACUUUACCUGCUCGAUAAAAGUUCAACGAGGAGCAUUUUAGAUCAUCUUAACUUUUCCGUUCACCAUCAACACUUCAUUCACAUCAUCUAUACCGUAGGAUCUGGCAUUUGUUGGAUUUAUCAUGAGUUCGGUUAGUAUUUUUUUCCAGAAAUUGAGAAUAUUAGUCCAAAGCAGAGAACAGGAAGAACUUAAAUUGGGGGUUCUCAAGCACAAAAGCUUCGUGGAUUAACCAAAUUCAUACUACUCAUUCCUGGGAAUUCCUAUUCCACAGUAUGACCAACUGACAGAAAUUGAAUCCAGAGAUGAUGUUAUCAUUGGCAUCCUAGAUUCUGGAUAUGGUACACGGUGUUGAUUUCAGAUCUGCUGUGCGGUAUGGUAACUACUUCAUGCUUCACAACUUUAAGGAAACAAGCUAAAACCAAGGAUUGCAGCCUGUCAUUCAGGUAUACUAUUUCGAUCAGUUGGCAGAGCAGUUCACCUUUUUGCUGGUUUUAGUAUAUUUUCAUUAUUUGUAGGUUGGUUUCCACCUAUUGUAAGAAAAUACAUUUGUAAGAACUUAAAUUGGUGUGAAUUCAGUAGUUGUGCAGAGCUUUUUGGGGGUUUUGACCUAAGUGUCAGCUCAAUUCACAUGUGAAUUCAAUUAAUAUGGUACAACAAAAUUUGAAUUGAAUGGUGAAUGUUUUAAUUAGUGUAUGAAAUGAGUUUUUAAUUUGAA